GCUGUAGCUCAGUGACAGAGCAUCUGUCUUACAUGCAGAACAUCCUGGGUUCAAAGCCCGGCAUCUACA